GUGGCGAACGGGUGAGUAACACGUGAGUAACCUGCCCUUAACUCUGGGAUAAGCCUGGGAAACUGGGUCUAAUACCGGAUAGGAGCGCCUACCGCAUGGUGGGUGUUGGAAAGAUUUAUCGGUUUUGGAUGGACUCGCGGCCUAUCAGCUUGUUGGUGAGGUAAUGGCUCACCAAGGCGACGACGGGUAGCCGGCCUGAGAGGGUGACCGGCCACACUGGGACUGAGACACGGCCCAGACUCCUACGGGAGGCAGCAGUGGGGAAUAUUGCACAAUGGGCGCAAGCCUGAUGCAGCGACGCCGCGUGAGGGAUGACGGCCUUCGGGUUGUAAACCUCUUUCAGUAGGGAAGAAGCGAAAGUGACGGUACCUGCAGAAGAAGCACCGGCUAACUACGUGCCAGCAGCCGCGGUAAUACGUAGGGUGCGAGCGUUAUCCGGAAUUAUUGGGCGUAAAGAGCUCGUAGGCGGUUUGUCGCGUCUGUCGUGAAAGUCCGGGGCUUAACCCCGGAUCUGCGGUGGGUACGGGCAGACUAGAGUGCAGUAGGGGAGACUGGAAUUCCUGGUGUAGCGGUGGAAU
rnacentral:rRNA from 1 species